ensembl:lncRNA
AGGUUGGUAGGGAGACAGAGGUUAGUAGGGAGACAGAGGUUAGUUGGAAGACAGAGGUUAGUAGGGAGACAGAGGUUGGUCGGGAGACAGAGGUUAGUAGGGAGACCGAGGUUAGUAGGGAGACAGAGGUUAGUAGGGAGACAGAGGUUAGUAGGGAGAGAGAGGUAAGUAGGGAGACAGAGGUUGGUAGGGAGACAUAAUAGGUGGGAGGCAGAGGUUAGUAGGGAGGCAGAGGUUAGUAUGGAGACAGAGUUUAGUAGGGAGACAGAGGGUAGUGGGGAGCCAGAGGUUAGUAGGGAGACAGAGGUUAGUAGGGAGGCAGAGGUUAGUAGGGAGGCAGAGGUUUGUAGGGAGGCAGAGGUUAGUAGGGAGGCAGAGGUUAGUAGGGAGACAGAGGUUAUUAGGGAGGCAGAGGUUAGUAGAGAGACAGAGGUUAGUGGGAGACAGAGGUUAGUAUGGAGACAGAGUUUGGUAGGGAGACAGAGGGUAGUGGGGAGCCAGAGGUUAGUAGGGAGACAGAGGUUAGUAGGGAGGCAGAGGUUAGUAGGGAGGCAGAG